rnacentral:rRNA from 1 species
AUUGAACGCUGGCGGCAGGCCUAACACAUGCAAGUCGAACGGUAACAGGAAACGGCUUGCUGUUUCGCUGACGAGUGGCGGACGGGUGAGUAAUGUCUGGGAAACUGCCUGAUGGAGGGGGAUAACUACUGGAAACGGUAGCUAAUACCGCAUAACGUCGCAAGACCAAAGUGGGGGACCUUCGGGCCUCACACCAUCGGAUGUGCCCAGAUGGGAUUAGCUAGUAGGUGGGGUAACGGCUCACCUAGGCGACGAUCCCUAGCUGGUCUGAGAGGAUGACCAGCCACACUGGAACUGAGACACGGUCCAGACUCCUACGGGAGGCAGCAGUGGGGAAUAUUGCACAAUGGGCGCAAGCCUGAUGCAGCCAUGCCGCGUGUAUGAAGAAGGCCUUCGGGUUGUAAAGUACUUUCAGCGGGGAGGAAGGCGAUGGGGUUAAUAACCGCGUCGAUUGACGUUACCCGCAGAAGAAGCACCGGCUAACUCCGUGCCAGCCGCCGCCGUAA